GGAUGUGAGGACAAUCUGGCUGCAUCAUCUGUCACCCCACUUAUUGCCAGGACUGAGUCGGCUGAUCUGGUUUACUAGGCAGGUGUCCACUUCCUCCCUCAGUGCUCCAUAUGCAUCCCUCCCCAAAAGCAGAUGAUCUUCUCCAAUACAGGAGGACCAUUGGCUCAGCCACAGGUAUACAAGUAGCUGCACUUCCCUGCUAGAACCUUCAAAUAGCUCUCAAAGAUAGCUUGUUAUUCAUGUGCUCAGAUGAAAGCACAGAUAUGAAUAAUCAGGCAAGGUAAGCAGUAAUUUUGCAUUAUGCUGUUGAU
ensembl:misc_RNA 7SK 7SK RNA